CCUAUUAUUAUUUCAACCGCUUCUUUUCCCCCCUUUCUAGUUUCUACUCCAUCGUCCUUUCUGCUACCUCUUGAUCUGCAACAAAAGAUUUUGAUUUGCAAAAAUCGCCUGGUGUUCUCCCCUCCACCAUUGAAGAAGCCGCCACUGGUUUCAACGUCUCUGCCAGCUUCUUCGUCGCCGCCAGCUACUCCGACUAUUGCAGGGUUGUGUUCAUGUACACAUUUAAAGUCGUUCAAGGGUCUAGAGGAUUGUGCAAACACUUUUGGUGCUGCAAGUAUUUGGAGGUGGAGGUAUAUGAGGAUUGGUGCUGCAAGUAUUUAGCUAAAAGAUGUUGUAAAAUCUGUUGUUAUUUGAAAUUGUGUUAUAAUUUUGACUUAUGUUUAAUUUUUGGAUUUUGACUAUGUUUAAUUUUUGAAAUUGUGUUUUAAUUUUGAGUUAUGUUUAGAUUUUUUCCUUAUAA